rnacentral:rRNA from 1 species
GAUGAACGCUGGCGGCGUGCCUAAUACAUGCUAGUCGAGCGAAUGGAUUAAGAGCUUGCUCUUAUGAAGUUAGCGGCGGACGGGUGAGUAACACGUGGGUAACCUGCCCAUAAGACUGGGAUAACUCCGGGAAACCGGGGCUAAUACCGGAUAACAUUUUGAACCGCAUGGUUCGAAAUUGAAAGGCGGCUUCGGAUGUCACUUAUGGAUGGACCCGCGUCGCAUUAGCUAGUUGGUGAGGUAACGGCUCACCAAGGCAACGAUGCGUAGCCGACCUGAGAGGGUGAUCGGCCACACUGGGACUGAGACACGGCCCAGACUCCUACGGGAGGCAGCAGUAGGGAAUCUUCCGCAAUGGACGAAAGUCUGACGGAGCAACGCCGCGUGAGUGAUGAAGGCUUUCGGGUCGUAAAACUCUGUUGUUAGGGAAGAACAAGUGCUAGUUGAAUAAGCUGGCACCUUGACGGUACCUAACCAGAAAGCCACGGCUAACUACGUGCCAGCCGCCGCUGUAA